rnacentral:rRNA from 1 species
UACGGGAGGCAGCAGUGGGGAAUAUUGCACAAUGGGCGCAAGCCUGAUGCAGCCAUGCCGCGUGUAUGAAAAAGGCCUCCGGGUUGUAAAGUACUUUCAGUCGUGAGGAAGGUGUUAAGGUUAAUAACCUUAGCAAUUGACGUUAGCGACAGAAGAAGCACCGGCUAACUCCGUGCCAGCAGCCGCGGUAAUACGGAGGGUGCGAGCGUUAAUCGGAAUUACUGGGCGUAAAGGGCACGCAGGCGGUUAAUUAAGUUGGAUGUGAAAUCCCCGGGCUUAACCUGGGAAUGGCAUUCAAGACUGGUUAGCUAGAGUCUUGUAGAGGGGGUAGAAUUCCAUGUGUAGCGGUGAAAUGCGUAGAGAUGUGGAGGAAUACCGGUGGCGAAGGCGGCCCCUGGACAAAGACUGACGCUCAUGUGCGAAAGCGUGGGGAGCGAAAACAGGGAUUAGAUACC